UAUCACCUGACAGCAGG
rnacentral:rRNA from 1 species